GUCCACGCCGUAAACGAUGGGCACUAGGUGUGGGAGGUGUCGACUCCUCCCGUGCCGGAGCUAACGCAUUAAGUGCCCCGCCUGGGGAGUACGGCCGCAAGGCUAAAACUCAAAGGAAUUGACGGGGCCCGCACAAGCAGCGGAGCAUGUGGUUUAAUUCGACGCAACGCGAAGAACCUUACCUGGGUUUGACAUGUUCCUGACCGCCCUGGAAACAGGGCUUCCCUCACGGGCAGGAUCACAGGUGGUGCAUGGCUGUCGU
rnacentral:rRNA from 1 species